rnacentral:rRNA from 1 species
CCUGAUUCAGCGGCGGACGGGUGAGUAAUGCCUAGGAAUCUGCCCGAUAGUGGGGGACAACGUUUCGAAAGGAACGCUAAUACCGCAUACGUCCUACGGGAGAAAGUGGGGGAUCUUCGGACCUCACGCUAUCGGAUGAGCCUAGGUCGGAUUAGCUAGUUGGUGAGGUAAUGGCUCACCAAGGCGACGAUCCGUAACUGGUCUGAGAGGAUGAUCAGUCACACUGGAACUGAGACACGGUCCAGACUCCUACGGGAGGCAGCAGUGGGGAAUAUUGGACAAUGGGCGAAAGCCUGAUCCAGCCAUGCCGCGUGUGUGAAGAAGGUCUUCGGAUUGUAAAGCACUUUAAGUUGGGAGGAAGGGCAGUAAGCUAAUACCUUGCUGUUUUGACGUUACCAACAGAAUAAGCACCGGCUAACUUCGUGCCAGCAGCCGCGGUAAUACGAAGGGUGCAAGCGUUAAUCGGGAUUACUGGGCGUAAAGCGCGCGUAGGUGGUUCAGCGAGUUGGAUGUGAAAUCCCCGGGCUCAACCUGGGAACUGCAUCCAAAACUACUGAGCUAGAGUACGGUAGAGGGUGGUGGAAUUUCCUGUGUAGCGGU